AAGAAAAGCAAUCCAGCAAGAAAAUCUGUAUGCUGCCAAUACAUCCAGUGAAAUUACUUUCUUCUGAAACAAUUCUAAACAGCUGGAUAAGUAUUAUACAUCUUAGCAGAUUACUUCUGAAGGGAUUCCAGAACAUCUGUUCAAAAUAAGUGUUGUUGUUUUCACUAGCUGUAGAAAAUGUUUUACAAGCAUACACAGUCAAAGAGUUAUUAAAACAAAGCAGAAAAAAACUCAGCAGUAAAUCAUGAAUGCUAUAUAUGGCAUGUUUCAAAAACCGUUUGGAAGAAGAGCUUCCGAGUCUCACAUUAGCACACUCCUCUUGACCUCAGAAAGAGUUGUCUCAACUUUAAUGAGUGGAUUCUUUAAAGCAGUGAGCUCCUUUAGUGAAUAGGAAGAAGGUAUCAUACUUGAAUUUGGGGAAAACACAUGAAGCCUUCUUCCAGAUCAUUUUUGAAGCCUGCAAAGCCCUAAAAUAUAACAGGAUAAAAAGAAGACUGGCCCAAACUUGAAAUAUUAAAGCUACCCAGACAAAGUUAGUUUUAUAUGGAGCUUACUUUAGGUACACUAGCUUUCCCAACAUGAAGUUUUUCAAAUGGCUCGGCUUUUGACAAUGUAGCUGGGAAGAUUAUGACAGUUGGAGCUCAGCUUAUCCACAGGACAUCAGAUGGAAGAAAGCUUAGACAGAGAGCAAAGUUGUCACUUUAGGCAGUAGAUUUAGGAUGUUGAGAAAGGGCAACAAAAUGAUAAUUAUGUAGUUAAUGCUACUGCCAAGGAAGUAGCUUUUCUGACUCAUGUGCCAAAAUUAGCAUGCAGCUCUUGAUUUGCUGACCUUAACUUAGAUGAUAGCAGCAGUUAUUGCUUCUCUUCCAAUGCCUAAAUGCCUUGAGCCUUCCCUGAGGCACUUGAGGUCAACUUAUGUCCACCAGAAGAUUCAAAAGCUCCUCUGUAUGUGUGGAGUGAUAUCAAAAACAAGCUCCUCCACUCACAAUUGUGUACAAGACAAUUCUGCAAAUAUAAAGGGAUAUGUGAAAAGAGGAGAAGAAGCUCAGGCCAGAAAGCUCAUGCAGGAUGGGAAAACGUUGAGGAAACCAAAGGCAUUUUCUUGUUCACUCUUUGGGAUCCACAUUUAGCAGACCAUAUGUCCAUGAGUAGAACUAGACCCAUUAAGUGCAUCUAAAAGCAGAUGCUUUAAGUCCAAAAGGACAAAUAAGCCAUGCCAAGGACGUUACAUGCUAUGAAAGAAAGGUUGCACCCCUGAGCUUUAUAUCUCAUGACAGGGAGAAAGGAAGAGAAGGAAGGGAAUACGAUUUUUCCUGUAGCAAGCAGGCUAAACAAGAGAAGCUAAGAUCGUUUCCUCCCUUGCAGCUUCUGGCAGUUUCUGGAGUCAUCCAACCCUUGUUGUGGCAAAAUAAGUAAUGAGGACAGUGUUUAUAUCACUUCACUGAUGGCUGGGUGAUGGUAAGAACAUGCUCUUCAGGAGUAACAAGGAAUGGAGCACAAAAAGCAAUGAAGUUUUAUGCCUUUACUUCAGUCUAAGUCAGAAGAAUCACACUGUCAUUAUAACAUGGAAUCUUGAGCUAAAAUGAUUUUGAGGAUGCACAUGCCGCUGAAGUGGAACAGAAUUCUCCAACAGUAUAUUUCUGGAAAGUGCAGUAUAUAUACAUAAAAUACAAAGAUAGCCUUCUUUACGUGUUACUCCUGUAAAGUGGCUCCUUCUGAAAGAAAAGCUGUUGUGCUAGCCCUAACUCUGAGAUUGGAUCCAAAUUUGUUGUACUACAUAAUGAGGGGAAGCUAUUUGGGGGGGGGGGGUAAAGUUGAUGGGGCCCAGAUUUGUGCAGCCCAGCUUCCUUGAAACUACAUGACCCCCCACCCCCGAAACUAGUAGCAGAUCAAGGAGAGGUAAUGUCUAGAGAUCCAAAAUUGCAGCACAGUUGAUGAUGAAAAGUAAGAACCUUGAUGUUUUCAAUGGAAUUAAAAGAUAUAACCUUGAAGGAACAGGUCCAGGAAUCAGCACAGAGGUUCCUG